CAGAUUUCCCGCUAAUCCGUUCCCGCUGAAAACACAUAAUAGGGCGGGUUUCUCUCCCGCGAUCAAAACCGUACCCUCACUCUACGUCUCUCCACAUUCCCCUUCAUGAUACAAUCUCAUUCAAUCAAAACUUGGAGAAAAGUAGCGGCAGCGCCGAGCUUCUGGGUUUUCUGCUGUUGCAGGUUCUUCGAUUCUGCUGAGAAGGAACUCUCUCUUUUUGGUUUUGUUCCUUCAGCGUGGCAUGGACUCUUGAAGAAGAACAACUAUUUUUUUUCAGAGGAACAAUACUACCUACUAACUUAGAGCUUUGUAAUCGGCUACCCACUUAUUUCUAGGCAUUGUUCUCUAUGAAUUCCUCAAUUCCCUGUGUGAUGCUCUGUUAGAGCCAGUGCCGAGGGUUCUGAGUUUUCCGUCGUUGCAGGUCCUCCUUCUGCUGAGAAGAAACUCCUCUUUUUGGUUUUGUUCUUUCAGCGUGGCACAGACUCUUGAAGAAGAACAACUAUUGUCUUUGUAGAGGAACAAUACUACCUUAGAGCUCUGUAAUCGCCUGCUUCAAAGUUCCAGAUCUGGAGACGUUACCUUCAGGAGCUUCAACAACUGGCAGUUGACGAGUGCACUUUCGCAAUGGGGAGAGGAGCUCACAGAAAUCAGACAGUUGGGGUAAAGUGGACAUUUUAUUUUCUUUUAAUAGAAUCUCAUAACCAUAUUUUAAAUUCCAUUUAAAAUGGAAUUUUUGUCAUUUCAUCAUACUACCAUCCUUACCCUCUCUAGUCUCUGACCAAUCCAACUGCUCUCUUCUUUUCGGUGGAGCUUGAAAUUGCCAACAAAUUCUGACCAAAAUGCCUCGACAGCAUUGUCGUAUGAACAAAAAAUUCGAAUCUCAAAUACUGAACACCCAAUAACCUUUGUUCACUUGAUACCCCGUAACCUUUCUUCUCUAGUCUCUCUCUCGUCUCCAAACUUCAAUGUCUCAUUGCUCUUAGGCAUUGGUAUUUUCAACAUGUUAUCUUUCAAAACAUCACCUACCCUUGUUACGUGAAUAACAACCCUUUUUUUUUCAUUGAAAAAAUCAAGAUUAAACUGAUAAUAAAUAAAGGAUUAAUUAAUUGCAUAUUAGUUCAUCCACCAAAUAAUAUCACAUAAUGGUCUACAGGGUAUAUAUUUUCAUGCAUAUAGAAUAAUUAAUAUUUGGAGUAAUGUUGUCUGAUCGACGUAUUCCUCUCAAGUUUAAAGGAAAGUUUUACAAAAUGGUUGUAAGACCAGCUAUGUUGUACGGGAGAAUGUUGGACUUGAGCCAAUAAGACUGACCGAAACUAACUAUUUGGACUGAAACAUCGAUAAAAUUUGAUAUUUUUUACAAUGUUUUUUUUUUCCAUUGAAAAAAUCAAGACUAAACUGAUGAUAAAUAAAGAAUUAAUUAAUUGCAUAUUAGUUCAUCCACUAAACAAUAUCACAUAAUGGACUAGAUGGUAUAGAUUGUCAUGCAUCUGAAAUAAUUAAUAUCUGGAGUAGUGUUGUGUGAUCGACAUAUUCCUCUCAAGUUUAAAGGAAAGUUUUAAGACUAGCUAUGUUGUAUGGGGGGAAUGUUGGACAGUCUAGAAACGUAACAUAGAUAAGUUGGAUGUAGUAGAGAUGCGAAUAUUGAGAUGAAUGUGCUGCAAAAUUCGGAGAGAUGGAGUGAAAAAUGACAGGAUAAGAGUUAAGUUGGGAAUGACCCCGAUUCAAGACAAGUUCCGAGAAUGCCAUUUAAGGUGGUAUUACUAUGUUCAAAGGAGGCCUUGGGAUGCUUCAGUACAGAGGAGUGAUCAGAUCCGGUGGGAAGGAGUUAGAAGAGCUAGGGGUAAGAAUAAAAUGACCAUUGAUGAAUUGGUAAAGAAAGACAUGCGGAAGCUUGGUUUUGAUCCUAGUGUGACAUCAAACAGAGUUGUUUAGAGUGCCAAGAUCCAUGUUGUAAACUGAGUUUUUAUGGGAUGACUCAAAGGUGUUGCAUUGCCCUAUUUCUUUUCUUGAUGCCCCCCCCCCCCCCUUUUUUUUUUUCUCUUCUUGAUCUCCUUUUAUCUUUUCUUUUGAUAAAUCGAUGUAGUCGAUCCCAUUUAGUUGAGAAAAAACUGAAUUAUUAUCGUUGUUAUUUUUAUUAUUAUUGUUAUUGAAAUAUAGGACAUGUAAUGUAAUUACUGCUAAACCUCUAUCCAUCGAAAAUGACUAUGUGAAGAUUUUGUGGUAGCUGGGCAUCUAUUUCAUGCAGGAAAGAAGUCCCAUAAAGAUUCCGAUCAGGGUUUUCGAGGAUGUGAAAUAUAAAAAAGCUGAGGCAAGAGGAAUCUAAUAAGCCAAGUGUUUUUGUCAUUUUCGAUAUGGGUGGGUUGCAUAAUAGUUUCUUAUAUAUUAAACCAUGAGAGUCUGUGUCACGAAUGUUUCAGUUUCAAGGUCUACUUGGCAAAUAUCUUCUACUAUCCACCUUUAUCAAAUCGGUUGGGCAAAAUAGAGUUCUGUAAUUUUUAUUUUAUUUUAUUUUAUUUGAGAUGCAAGUGAACACCAUAGAGAUCUAGAUGGACUCAAAGGAUCUAUUGAAUUGGUUCACAUCCAAGGAGAAAUACAACUGCUCAUGGGAAUUUUUUCCAAUUUUA